CGCACAUUGCGCCCCUUGGUAUUCCGAUGGGCAUGUCUGUUUGAGCGUCAUUACAAAACUUCGGCUUGCGGCUUUGCUGCCCGAUCCGGUGCUGGGCCUGGCUGACCUCCCUUGUGAGGAGCCGGCCUUAAAUUGUACGCUCUGCGGGCCGACCGACCCUGACAAACAUAGUAGAAUCAUUCAACCUGUUUGGCUGGAAAUGUCGCGCUUCGCCUGAACAAGAACCUCAAUUCUCUAGGUUUGACCUCAGAUCAGACAAGGAUACCCGCUGAACUUAA
rnacentral:misc_RNA from 1 species